CAAAUUGUAAUUUUACUAAAUUUCUGAAACUUAAUUAGGUGACUAAAUUGUAAUUUUUCAAAAUACUAUUAAACCUAGAUUGAAACACACACUACGCACAAAAUUCAUUGCACAGACCCCUGCCUCCUCUGCGGCGGCGCCGUCGACCAGUUCCACAGCCUUUUCUUCUUUUGCAAACUCUAAAACCAUCGUCGGAGAAGACGGUAAAAAACAGAAAAACAAUGGGGAGGUUUGGAUCUGGAGGCAUCAGAUACCUUGCUCUUCUCCUCCACUAUUUCGUGAGGCUGCCGGCUUCAACAGAGCUACACGAUUUGAGAGAAUUAGGGGCGGCUUCGGCGGCGAUAGUGACCGUGAUUGUUGCCUGUGUUGUUUUGAGUUCCAGAAAUUUUGGGGAAGAGAAUUAGGUGCUGGAUUUUUAUUUUCCCAAGUGG
rnacentral:lncRNA from 1 species